rnacentral:rRNA from 1 species
CCUACGGGGGGCUGCAGCUAAGAAUCUUCCGCAAUGGGGGCAACCCUGACGGAGCGAUGCCGCGUGAUCGAAGAAGGUCGAGAGAUUGUAAAGAUCUUUUCUGGGUGAGGAAUAAGUGUGGUAGGAAAUGACUGCAUGAUGACGUUAACCCAGGAAUAAGCCCCGGCCAAUUACGUGCCAGCAGCCGCGGUAACACGUAAGGGGCGAGCGUUGUUCGGAAUUAUUGGGCGUAAAGGGCGUGCAGGCGGUCAUGUAAGUCUGUUGUGAAAUCCCGG